rnacentral:rRNA from 1 species
UACGAAGGGGGCUAGCGUUGCUCGGAUUGACUGGGCGUAAAGGGCGCGUAGGCGGUUCGUACAGUCAGACGUGAAAUUCCUGGGCUCAACCUGGGGGCUGCGUUUGAUACGUGCGGACUUGAGUGCGGAAGAGGGUCGUGGAAUUCCCAGUGUAGAGGUGAAAAUUCGUAGAUAUUGGGAAGAACACCGGUGGCGAAGGCGGCGACCUGGUCCGAUACUGACGCUGAGGCGCGAAAGCGUGGGGGAGCAAACAGG